rnacentral:lncRNA from 1 species
CGAUAUCAAAAAUUCCACUCCUUGGUCAAACUUCUCAAAAACCUUCAAAUUUCUAUCUUUAGUCAAAUGAAUCCAAAAUGACCCACGGACCUUCAAAUUCACUUUCGAUCGCACUCCCAACUCCAGAGUCACAAUACGGAGCUAUUCACAGACUUGAAAUUACAAACGGACAUUGAUAACACUGAAAUACACUUCAAGCCAAACUUAUGAAAUUUCUUUCAAAAUUCUAACUUCCACAAUAGGCGCCAAAACGUCCCCGGGUCAUCCAAGACCUGAUCCGAGCAUACGCCCAAGUCCAAAAUCGCAAUACAAACCUACUGAAACCUUCAGAUACUCAUUCUGAGGUCAUUUACUCAAAAAUCGAAUCUUAGGUAAUUCUUUCAACUUUAAGCUUCCGAAAUGAGAAUGUUCCUUCCAAAUCAACUCUGAACUUCCCGAAAUCCAAUUCUGACCAUACGUACAAGUCAUAACACCUGUAAUGAAGC